AGUGAACGCUGGCGGUAGGCCUAACACAUGCAAGUCGAACGGCAGCACAGUAAGAGCUUGCUCUUACGGGUGGCGAGUGGCGGACGGGUGAGGAAUACAUCGGAAUCUACUUUUUCGUGGGGGAUAACGUAGGGAAACUUACGCUAAUACCGCAUACGACCUACGGGUGAAAGCAGGGGAUCUUCGGACCUUGCGCGAUUGAAUGAGCCGAUGUCGGAUUAGCUAGUUGGCGGGGUAAAGGCCCACCAAGACGACGAUCCGUAGCUGGUCUGAGAGGAUGAUCAGCCACACUGGAAGUGAGACAGGGUCCAGACUCCUACGGGAGGAAGCAGUGGAGAAUAUUGGACAAUGGGCGCAAGCCUGAUCCAGCCAUACCGCGUGGGUGAAGAAGGCCUUCGGGUUGUAAAGCCCUUUUGUUGGGAAAGAAAAGCAGCAGGUUAAUACCCCGCUGUUCUGACGGUACCCAAAGAAUAAGCACCGGCUAACUUCGUG
rnacentral:rRNA from 1 species